rnacentral:rRNA from 1 species
UUAAAAGCUCGUAGUUGGAUUUCUGUUGAGGAUGACCGGUCCGCUCUUUGAGCGCGUAUCUGGUUCAGCCUUGGCAUCCUCUUGGGGAACGCUACUGUGCUUGAUUGCAUGGGGCGGUAUUCAAGACUUUUACUUUGAGGAAAUUAGAGUGUUCACUGCAAGCGUUAGCAAUUGAAUACAUUAGCAUGGAAUAAUAAUAUAGGACCUUGGUACUAUUUUGUUGGUUUCUAGAACUAAGGUAAUGAUUAAUAGGGACAAUUGGGGGCAUUCGUAUUAACGCGUCAGAGGUGGAAUUCUUAGAUUGCGUUACGACGAACUACUGCGAAAGCAUUUGCCAAGGAUGUUUUCAUUGAUCAAGAACGAAAGUAUGGGGAUCGAAGACGCUUAGAUACCGUCGUAGUCUAUACCAUAAACUAUGCCAACUAGAGAUUGGAGGUCGUUCUCUUUAUGACUCCUUCAGCACCUUAUGAGAAAUCAAAGUCUUUGGGUUCCGGGGGGAGUAUGGUCGCAAGGCUGAAACUUAAAGGAAUUGACGGAAGGGCACCACCAGGGGUGGAGCCUGCGGCUUAAUUUGACUCAACACGGGAAAACUUACCAGGUCCGGACAUAGUAAGGAUUGACAGAUUGAUAGCU